ACACCCAUACCACAUUGAAACACCGGUUCUCAUAUGAUCACUGAAGUUAAGCAAUGCCAAGCUUGCUCAGUAUCUAGAUGGGUGAUCACUUGGCACUACCAGGUGCUGUAAG